GACUUGACAUGCAUGGAUUAACUCCUGGAAACAGGAGCCAGGCCUUCGGGUACAACGUGCACAGGUGCUGCAUGGCUGUCGUCAGCUCGUGUCGUGAGAUGUCGGGUUAAGUCCCUUAACGAGCGAAACCCUUGUCUCUAGUUGCCAGCGGGUCAUGCCGGGAACUCUAGAGAGACUGCCGGUGUUAAACCGGAGGAAGGUGGGGAUGACGUCAAGUCCUCAUGGCCUUUAUGAUUAGGGCUGCACACGUCCUACAAUGGCGCGAACAAAGGGAAGCAAACUCGCGAGAGCAAGCAAAUCCCAAAAAACGCGCCUCAGUUCGGAUUGCAGGCUGCAACUCGCCUGCAUGAAGCCGGAAUCGCUAGUAAUCGCGGGUCAGCAUACCGCGGUGAAUAUGUUCCUGAGCCGCUAGUAAUCGCGGGUCAGCAUACCGCGGUGAAUAUGUUCCUGAGCC
rnacentral:rRNA from 1 species